AAUGAACCUAAACUUGCUAUGCUAAUUCUAGGACUUUCAUGAACAGGACCGGUCAGUCACACCAUAUUCUGUAGUGGCUUUUUGAUUUAGGGACUUCAAGAAUCCAGCAUAAUUAGGAAAAGGAUCAAGUGAAGAAAGGAGGAACAGCCCUUGUCUUGCUGUGGACUCUAGACUCCAGCUUCUGAUCCUGGUUUGUCCCCAAAUCCACUAUUUGCCUGCUGUCUGUAAUUUGGUACCUGACUCUGACUUCCUGAUGCAGCUUGACCCUUGACUCCACUACUCAUCUCCUGAUUGAAAUUUGGUAACUGACCUGUGCACAGACGCUACCCCGUGGCCCAACCCUGAC